rnacentral:lncRNA from 1 species
CUCAUAGUCGGGUUUCCCUUCACCCUCCCCAUAUUUCUGAUCACUGCUACAUCACGAGGACUACAGAGGCUCCUAUUCCUUCUCUCUCCCAAAACCAUUCCGUUUCGUUAAGAUGUGGUGCUCUCAUCCUUGUUAUAGGCAGAUCCUGGUGGCUGCUUGGAACCCUCUUCCCCCAGUUACUACUCUUAGAGGAGUUUAUCGUAAGGUGAAUAAAGUUGUCCUCAAAAUUUUCAAUUGUUCCCAAUUUGAUGAUAUUCUAGGUCGUGUCUAUGAAGCUACUGCCAGGCUUUAACAAGCUGCCUUCAUACUCUCAACUGCCCCUUUGCAGCCAGUUUUACUUUGGUUUUGAUAUGUACUGAGGAUUGGCAUAAACCUCGUAUCGCCGAGUAGUCCUUUUUUUGGAAAAAAUAUAAAGACCUUAAGGUAAAUUUUGGAGACUUGAGUUCUUCCUAUUUUCAUAGGGUUGUCAAGAUCCGAGAAGCUAGACAUCAGAUUACAUGCCUUCAGAUAGCUGAUGGUCGCUCUCUGACCUCCUUGCCUAUCAUUAUUAAUGAAGUUGUUGGUUUUUAUAAGGGUAUGCUUGGCUCUAUGCAUACCUCUUUUCACUUACAAAUUGAAAGCUACUUUGAGGACCUUCUGAUUCAUAACCUCCCCCUGGUUCUACUUCUCAUCUUUGUGCCACUAUUUUGGAUGCAAAAAUAGGAUGCUCGUUUCUCACUUGUUGGAGAGAAAAGCCCCUGUCCAUAUAGCUUUGUUGUUGCUUUUUCCAUGAUUUUUGGGAUGUUGAGAUCACUAAUAUUGUCUAGGAUUUUUUCCUCACAAAUGAUCUUCCAGCUUAAGUGAACUCCACCUCCCUAGCUCUGAUUCCAAAAUUUCUUAAUAUUGAUUCUAUGGCUAACUUUUCUUUGAUCUCUUUCUACAAUGUGCUCUAUAAGACCAUCACCAAUAUUAUCUCCAAGCACAUGAGUCUGGUGCUUCCCUUUUCGAUUAGUACUAGCCAAUCUGUUUUAUUAAAGGGCGGGUCAUUACUGGUAAGAAGUUAUGAAGGCCUUUGAUUCCUUGAACUGGGAAUUUCUCCUAUUUUUUACGUGCUAUUGGAUUUCAUAAGGGUUUUGUGAUGUGGAUUGUCACCUAUUUCCGUAGCGCCAAGUUAAGUGUUUUUAUUAAUGGUGGCCUAUGUGACUAUUUCCUGCUUUAAAGGCCUGAGACAUGGGGAUUCACUGUCCCCUUAUCUUUUUUUUAUCUCCAUGGAAGUCCUGCAUUGCUUGCUUGCUUGAACUUAUGCUGAUGGUCUCUAUGCCUUCCAUCCUCGUUGCAAGCGGUUUGGUCUCACCCAGCUUUGUUUUGCUAACCAUUUUCUCUUAUUUACCACGAGGUGUCUCAUUGGUGUUGCUGAAAUCCUCAAUGUCCUUCGAUCCUUCCAUCAAUUGUCAAGUUUGAAAGUUAAUCCUCAAAAGUUUGAAAUCUAUUGCUCUCGAAGUGUUCCUGAUGAUCUUGUCCAGCAAAUAGUCUCUUUCCCUGGCUUCCACUGUGGCACUUUGUCGGUGCACUACUUGGGUGUCCCUUUUGAUACCUCUUGUCUUCUUUGCUCUGUUGAUACUAAGACCCGAUACCAUGUUUUUACUGCUUGCUGUUAUACUCGAGAGGUCCAGUUAUAUUUUUUGCUAAGGCACACUACUGGUCUUGGUUGGGAGCAGCUGUUGGUUGAGGCUGUUAUCCUUAUGACAUCUCAUCCCAAAGGUUCUGCCACUUUUUCGGGUCAUCUGGCGAGUGAUCAACUAUCAUAUUUGGCGAGAGCACUGUAGACGCUGGUUCAUGGGGGAGAAGUUUGAUUCUAGGGGUCGUAUUGGUGUUAUUAGUAGUGAUAUCAGGUGUAUUAAAGUUAUUCAAUAGUUUUUAUAGGGUUUUCUUUCUUUCUUUUAGUCUUGAUUUCUAUUUCCCGACAUAAAUUCAUUAUUCUAAAGGAGGGGAGAGCUUGUAGGCAAUAAUUGGCUGCCUUCGUAGAAGGGUGUUGAUCAUCUAUGGACAUAGCUAAUCAUUCAUAGAUUUGUUUUCGGGUGCAGAACAGUAACUUCUCAAGAGGUCACCUAUUUCUCCAAUGCUCCACCCUAAGAACUCAUCCAUUCACCCCUAAAAUGCACAUUUUCAGUUAACUCCCGUAGUUUGUCCAUAUGGGAUUUUCCUAAAAUUUUCUUAGAUCACAAUAUGCCCUUCUUUGUACUGUGAGCCUAAUUUGGUUUUUGAUGAAUGAUAAACUGUUAUUCAUUAGAAAGAAAAGAUACGGUUGAAAUGUUAAUCAUCAAAUAUGUAUGUUAGUAUGCUUUUUCUCUACUAUGCAUACACAAGUUCAAUUCUAAUGAGAAGCAGUUGCAUAUCUUUUUCUUUUAUCUUCAUUCAGUUCUCAAACGAUGUCGUUUUGGAUUAAGAUAAACGUGUUCAUCUUCUUCCACUUCAUCUUGCCCGUCGUCAUUCCUCUGUUUUAUCCAGCGAGCCUCGUAAUCCGACAAAUAAUAACAAACUCAAUGCCUCCCUAAAUAAUUUAAGGCCAUUCUCGUCUAGAUAAUUAUCGUAAAUCAAACUAUGACCCUUUUUGUUGUUGUCUUCCUCUUCUGAUUUAACCUCUUUCGGCACCGAAACAUGAACCCAUGAGAUCAAUGCCAUGAUUCGGGACCAACCCUUCCUUCAAGAGCAAUCGUACGGCUAUUUAAUGCCCUCCUGAAUCUUCAUCCAUCCCGGAGGUAGAAACCAAUGUCCGACAUAUAGUAUCAACGGACUUGUGUCUUUACGACUGCCUACGUACCGAAAAAGAUUGUGAUCAAAGUACACGUAGUUCGACUUUAGGUAACUCGUCGAGUAUGUCGCAUAAGUGGUCUCCACGGUCUGACUGUCUUCAAUUUACAGAUGCUCGAUAAAGUCGUGAGCUCACUCUCGAUAAAGCGAACUUCUACCAUUUUCCAAAACCCCGGGUUACAAGAAAUCACUUAUAAGAUAAAACUAUGGACCUUCAUAUUUAGGCUUGAUGAAUACGAAGCAACAUAUGAAACGAUUUGAGAGGAUGCAGAUUCAAAAAAUAUAAAGACCAAACAACAAAUUCCUAAUAAUUCGGGGCUCUGCCAGGGAAGAAAAGCACUCCCCAAACUAACAAGAUUGAAACCCAAUCUCAAUUUAUACAGAGUGGCCGACAACUAUUACGUUGUUAUUUCAAGGGGAAAUCAACUCAUCUUCUUUUGC